rnacentral:rRNA from 1 species
UCUGAUUAGUAAGUUGGUGAGGUAACGGCUCACCAAGGCGACGAUCAGGAGGAGUUCUGAGAGGAUUAUGCCCCACACUGGUACUGAGACACGGACCAGACUCCUACGGCAGGCAGCAGUGAGGAAUAUUGGUCAAUGGGUGAGAGCCUGAAGCAGGCAUCCCGCGUGCCGGAUGACGGCCCCAAUGGGUUGUAAACUGCUUUACUACGCCAAGAAAGGUCCCUACGUGUAUGGAAUUGACGGUAGCGUAGGACUAAGCAUCGGCUAACUCCGUGCCAGCAGCCGCGGUUAUACGGGAGGAGGCAAGCGUUAUCCGGAUUUAUUGGGUUUAAAGGGUGCGCAGACGGGUUUUUAAGUCAGUGGUGAAAUACUGCCGCUUAACGGUUGAAUUGCCAUUGAAACUAGGAAUCUUGAGUGCGGUUGAGGUAAGCGGAAUGUGUAGUGUAGCGGUGAAAUGCAUAGAUAUUACACAGAACACCGAUUGCGGAGGCAGCUUACUAAGCCAUAACUGACGCUGAGGCACGAAAGCGUGGGGAGCGAACAGGAUUAGAUACCCUGGUAGUCCACGCUGUAAACGAUGUUCACUCGCUGUUUGCGAUACACAGUAAGCGGCUGAGCGAAAGCAUUAAGUGAACCACCUGGGGAGUACGAUCGCAAGGUUGAAACUCAAAGGAAUUGACGGGGGCCCGCACAAGCGGAGGAACAUGUGGUUUAAUUCGAUGAUACGCGAGGAACCUUACCUGGGCUUAAAUGUAGACUGCAUAGGGUGGAAACAUUCUUUCCCUUCGGGACUGUUUACAAGGUGCUGCAUGGUUGUCGUCAGCUCGUGCCGUGAGGUGUCGGGUUAAGUCCCAUAACGAGCGCAACCCUUACCGUUAGUUGCCAACAGGUCAAGCUGGGGACUCUAGCGGGACUGCCACCGUAAGGUGAGAGGAAGGUGGGGAUGACGUCAAAUCAGCACGGCCCUUAUGUCCAGGGCUACACACGUGUUACAAUGGCCGGUACAGAGGGCAGCUACCACGCAAGUGGGUGCCAAUCCCGAAAGCCGGUCCCAGUUCGGAUUGGAGUCUGCAACCCGACUUCAUGAAGUUGGAUUCGCUAGUAAUCGCGCAUCACGCCAUCGCGCGGUGAAUACGUUCCCGGGCCUUGUACACACCGCCCGUCAAACCAUGGGAGCUGGGGGUGCCUGAAGUCUG